GGACUCUCUCAAAAACUCAAACGAAAAUUUAAACCUGAAAACGAGAUUCGAACAUGUCCAAGAUCUCGGUUGAUUGUCUCAGAACUUUUCUAACAGCUGCACUUCAUCGGGGGGUAUCAACUGUUGUUAACGCCGUGUGUGACACUACUAACGGUGCCCUGAGGACCGGUGGCGGCCCGUUUUCAGUCCGAAAAGCAGUGAUAACAGCGCAGCCUCAGUCAGUGCGGAGCGCUUAGCCCAGCCCAUGCUGGUUUAGGGCGGUUCUGACCCAUCUGCCCCAGGGACUCCUCAUCCUGUGGGACUAAAUCAUCCUGGCUCCUGGCAGCGUCAUCUGCUCGUGAGACUGAGCUCCUGUCCCAGAGAAUCAGGCCGCUUUGCCGAUUGUUUUAUGCCAGAGAGGUUGGGUCCCUUUAUUUCCUCUCAGGAUGGAGGGCUCCGGCAGGCGUUCUCUCCCCAGACACAUGGAUGUUCUUCUGGCCCUGGGCCAGUUCGUGCCAUCCAGCGGGUGUGAGUGUUCAGACCUGAGAGACGUGCCUUCUACCGGAAAUGCUUAUUGCUCCCUGGAGUCUUCAAUCCUCCAAAAAUUUCUCUCAUUUAAAACCUCAUGAAGCCGGGCACCCCUGUCAUCCCAGCACUCACAAGACUGCGGCAGGAGGAUCGCCACGAGUUCAAGACCAGCCUGAGCUACAAGGGAUGCUCAUAUCUCCUUCCGGUUCUCACAUCCACUGACACAGCCCUGAAGAAACAAGCAAACCAACAAAAGUCCCAGGGGCCACGAAAUUCUCUCCUAACUUCGUGUUGUCUCAGAGGUCUUCUGGAGGCGGUGCUCAUCUCCAACCCAUGGAGGGCGUCCAAGGGAACUCCCGGAGGUUCAGGAAAUGCUGUCUCAGCGGCUGAAGAAUUAUCCUAAUUUAGGCUUGUGGAGUGUUUCUAAAUUGGAGUGAUUUAUACAUUGUCUCGUCACCAGCAAAGGGCAUAUUCCUCUGACACAUGACGCCUCUUGACCCAGAAUAAGUGACUUCAGCUCUCUCCUUCCAGUUUCCUCAGUUGCACAAAACCCGGCCAGGCACGUUGAGCUGCGCCCCACUGAGGAAGCUCACAGCGCACCCUAAAGAUCAAAGCCACAGAUGUAGGGCUGCUCAGUGACGGCUGGAGGCUGGCUGAACUCUGCAGUUGAAGCCGUGAGUUCUCAGCCCUCCUCAGCACACUGUGCUCCCUGGGCCUCUCACAAAGGAGACUGGCAAAGAGCUCGUUAUCGGGACCGCACUGAGGAGCACGGAAACAUCUUUGGUAGUGGAUGUGGUUUCCGUAGGCAGAAAGUACCUGAAAGGACUCCACGAUGCUGGGGAUGAAAGACCUGCUAAGGGACACCUCUGCCACUCUUUUCUGGGGACCCCGAGUCACCCGUCAUGGAACCUGUGCGAGUCCUGGGAGGUAACCCUCUCUCUGCCAGGCCAGCAAGAUCUUCCAGCAGGCAGGGGCAGGACAUCUUUGUAGGAAAAGAAGUGUGGGUGGCUAGGAGCAGGGACCUUAGGAGAGGAAUAGACGGAGGGGGAGGGUGAAGUCGGCCUGGCCAAGGGUGGGGAAUUCCCGCCUGCCGCCUGUGCUGCACUGUAACCACGUGCCUCGGCCAAGGUCCUUCUCAGAAAAUCGGUUUAAAACCAAGGGCGCAUUUCGCGUGGUCCGGGAAAUAAGCAAAGCAAAGCAUUCUGCAGCAGUCCUGUGACCCGUCACUGAAGGAGCCCACGCACCCAAGCACGGCCCAGGGAGUCAGGAGGAGGCGGGCGAGUGGGCUGGUGAACUCUGGCUGUGCAGCUCCUCCUCUGCGUCCCAGCUCCCCUCUGCGCAGGGCACCAUCCGGUGGGUUUUCUUUCUGCAGGAGUCUCAUUCCCUCCUCACCUUUUCAGGUAGGGACGAGGAACAUCCUACUAAACCACAAAGUAAGACUCUGUUUCCAAAGCAAAACAAAACAAAGACGGAAAUAAUACGUAAAGGGUAAAUUGAUAGCAAAAUCAAGUAUGCCAGAAUUUCUCUUUCUUUUUGUCUUUCAGACAAGGUCUCAUUAUGCAGCU